CCAUGGAAAAAAAGGUAGAUAGAUAAUAUACAACCCCAAGCGUAGGGUAUCCUUAAGAGAUCUGUCUUUCCCUCUCUCCUUCUGUGGCGCGCCCGAUGAUGCGAUUUCGGCGCGAUUUACGGCCGCCAUAGCCGCCUCUGCAAAAGGCGUCUCAGCUGAUCAGUUAUCAACUGUGCACCGUGAUUCCCAGAUUGACAGAGAACUGAAAGAUUUUAUAGGAAUUGAAGAGUUCCUGAUUCACUCGUAGCAUUCUCUCUCUUGGAUCACUGAAAAUUGGACCAGAGUUUGGAGGUUGUAGGAACAUAACUUGUGCCUUUGGAUCACUGCAUUACGCACUAUAUUGGGUAAUUUUCUAUGUCCUUCCUGCCUGUCCACAAGACAUAAGAGUCGACACAAAUAGUUGGAGCCACACAAUCUGUGAAAAUUGAAGUUUAGUGCAACUGUAAAUUAUUUACUUUCAUUUGUUCGAAAAUUUGAUGUUUUAGAGAAAUAGAAUACUAGAGGUUUAUUUGGAUUUAAACCUUAUUCGUGAGAAUUUUGAAAACUUUUAAGUUUUAGUAUAUACCAAUAAAAAAACUAGGGAGUGCACUAUUUUGGUUUGAACUAUUGAUGUUCAAACUUGCAGGAUUCACUAGCAAAAUAUAUGUGCAUUUGUUGUAUAAGUUGCAUGUUGUUGAUUACUAUAUAUAUAUAUCAUGUAAUAGUGGAACUUGUCCAAAAUAAGCAUUGUUCACUA